GGGAUCAUGGGAAUGAAGUCAGGGUAAUGGGAAUGGGGUCAGGGUCAUGGGAAUGGGAUCAUGGGGUCAGUGGGUACAGGGCCUUCCGCAAGCGCAUGAUGCUGGCCGCUUCCGGCCCAACCCGCUGAACAACCCACGGCGACCUUACUACUGAGGAGAGUUUUUCCCACCAGAUUUCCUGG
rnacentral:lncRNA from 1 species